CUUGCAUAUACGCAUCCCCCGUCUAUUGGCGUAGAUCACUUUCGUUUUCUUUUUUUCUGCCUGUUACGCCGGCCAGCCCUUCCUCCUUGCAGCACACACGACCUCCACAUCGAGGGAGGGACUCUCUUUCUUUUCGACAUCGUUACCAGCUGAACGCCCGCUUUCCGUGACGGCACUGGCUCAUCUUAGCAUUUUCCUCUGUUCCCAUUCCACUCCUCCUUUUUUUGCGUUGUCCGACGCGCGCCGUCACCCACUCCCGCAAGUACACGGUACACGCCGCGUGACACAGAGCGUAGUAUCUCUCUCUCCCUCGCUGUGCGUGUUUCGUGCCCCGUCUCCAUUCUUUGAUUCGCACCUCGCCAUUGGUGCUCACUACUCGAAAUUUUUUUUUUUGGCCCACUGCUCAAGAGCCAGACCGCCUGUGUUUCGAACGUUACGAGCACAACCCGCAAGCAUCUUUGUAUCGGAGCUAGAGCGAGAGAGAGGGGCAAUAGAGAGAGUGAGUGAUCAACGCUCGACACAGACGGACUGGUUGCGCAGGUUCGACACACGGGAUAACACACAAAAGACGUGCUAGAGACGCAACGAAACGGUGCCGUGCGAGUGCGAAGAGCGAGCGGGAGAUAAGGAAACAUCGAAGAGGAAGAGCGAGAGACACUUGCUUCUGUUGUCCUUGGCACUCGCGCCGAAAACGACAAAAAAACAAAUCGAGGGAGAGGACACACACACACACGAAAAAGGAGGAGCGACACAGCGCAGGCGCCAUCCUCACCGGCGUUGUCCAUAAGCGCAAAACAACAAACGAAAGUGAAGAGAGCCGGCACUACCCCCCUCCCCCUCGCCCCGCAUCACCUCUCGUUUUUUUUUUUUCAACACCACCUUAUCCUGACAACUCGCCUCUUAG
rnacentral:misc_RNA from 1 species